GUCCACACUGUAAACGUUGGAUACUAGCUUUUCGUGAGAAUGAUCAUGAGUAGGCUAAGGGAAACCGAUAAGUAUCCCACCUGGGGAGUACGCUCGCAAGGGUGAAACUCAAAGUAAUUGACGGGGGCCCGCACAAGCGGUGGAGCAUGUGGUUUAAUUCGAUGAUACGCGAGGAACCUUACCUGGGCUAGAAUGCCCUUGACACGUGCAGAAAGGUACGUUUCCUUCGGGACAAGGUGCAAGGUGCUGCAUGGUUGUCGU
rnacentral:rRNA from 1 species